rnacentral:rRNA from 1 species
AGAGUUUGAUCCUGGCUCAGAUUGAACGCUGGCGGCAUGCCUAACACAUGCAAGUCGAACGUAACAGGUCUUCGGUAUGCUGACGAGUGGCGAACGGGUGAGUAAUGCAUCGGAACGUAUCCUUGAGUGGGGGAGUAACGCAGCGAAAGUUAGUGCUAAUACCGCAUAAGCUCUGAGGAGGAAAGCGGGGGACCGGAAAGGCCUCGCGCUGAAGGAGCGGCCGAUGUCCGAUUAGCUAGUUGGUGAGGUAAAGGCUUACCAAGGCGACGAUCGGUAGCUGGUCUGAGAGGAUGAUCAGCCACACUGGGACUGAGACACGGCCCAGACUCCUACGGGAGGCGAC